rnacentral:rRNA from 1 species
CCAGGCUUGAACAGCGAGUGACCACUCCUGAAAAGGAGCUUCCGCAAGGACACUCGUAGAGGUGCUGCAUGGCUGUCGUCAGCUCGUGUCGUGAGAUGUUGGGUUAAGUCCCGCAACGAGCGCAACCCUUGUUUGCUGUUGCCAUCAGGUUAUGCUGGGCACUCUGCAAAGACUGCCGGUGAUAAACCGGAGGAAGGUGGGGAUGACGUCAAGUCAGCAUGGCCUUUAUGUCUAGGGCUACACACGUGCUACAAUGGCCGGUACAAACCGUUGCAAACUCGCGAGGGUGAGCUAAUCGGAGAAAGCCGGUCUCAGUUCGGAUCGUAGGCUGCAACUCGCCUGCGUGAAGUUGGAAUCGCUAGUAAUCGCGGAUCAGCACGCCGCGGUGAAUACGUUCCCGGGCCUUGUACACACCGCCCGUCACAUCACGAAAGCCGGUUGUACUAGAAGUCGCCACACCAACCCGCAAGGGAGGGAGGCGCCUAAGGUAUGGUCGGUGAUUGGGGUG